rnacentral:rRNA from 1 species
CCCUUAGAUGUUCUGGGCCGCACGCGCGCUACACUGAUGCAUUCAACGAGUUUCUUCCUGGUCCGAGAGGAAUGGGUAACCUUUUGAAAGUGCAUCGUGAUAGGGAUAGACUAUUGCAAUUAUUGGUCUUCAACGAGGAAUUCCUAGUAGACGUAGUUCAUCAGACUGCAUCGAUUACGUCCCUGCCCUUUGUACACACCGCCCGUCGCUCCUACCGAUUGAAUGCUCCGGUGAACAAUUUGGACUGCUUUGAUUCGAUUAGAAUUUGAAGCGGAAAGUUUAGUGAACCUUAUCACUUAGAGGAAGGAGAAGUCGUAACA